rnacentral:lncRNA from 1 species
AUGAGAGACACACAGAGAGAGGCAGAGACACAGGCAGAGGGAGAAGCAGGGAGCCUGAUGCCAGGACCCCAUCCCAGGACCCCAGGAUCAAGACCUGAGCCAAAGGCUGAUGCUCAACGACUGAGCCCCUCCAGGGGCCCCGAUUUUCUGCAGAAUGAUGUUUAUGAGACUAACCAAACUACCUUCCAGAUGACUUCUAUCUACCACAGUCUUCCUCCCCUCUGUAAGAGAAUGCAAGUAGAUGCUGAUGUUUGAAGCAAGAACGUUCAAGAAUUGCUGCCUGACUUUUAACCCAAGGAUUGGAAUGCUAUUCAUCUCAUUGUCAGAGAUUUCCAGUAAAAGUCAUAGUAAGAAUCAAAUGUAAUCCCCUAAGUACACUCACACAAGUUAGCUCCAGCCAUGCCAGAAAUUCUCAGUGGAAUUCCAACUCAAGUGUUGUGUGUGAUCAAUCCAAC